rnacentral:Y_RNA from 1 species
AGCGGAUCCGAGGACAGUGGUGUUACAACUAAGUGAUCACAGCCAGUUAGAUUCCUUUGUUCUUUCUCUAUUCCUACUGCUUUUCUUGACUAGCCUAAA